GCCCUUGUAGCUCAGUGGAUAGAGCGUCCGUUUCCUAGACGGAAAGUCGCAGGUUCGAUUCCUGCUAGGGGCA
rnacentral:tRNA from 1 species